UAUCUCUGUAGAGUCUGCAUAUCAAUAAGCGGAGGAAAAGAAACUAACUAGGAUUCCCGUAGUAACGGCGAGUGAAGCGGGAAGAGCUCGAAUUUGAAAUCUUCAAGGUUUUACCUUGACGAAUUGUAGUUUAAAGAAGUGUUUUCUGUUGGAGUUUUGGUAAAAGUUCUUUGGAAUAGGACAUCAUAGAGGGUGAGAAUCCCGUAUUUGAUCAUUCCUUCCUAACUUUGUGAUACACUUUCAACGAGUCGGAUUGUUUGGGAAUGCAGUCCAAAAUGGGUGGUAAAUUUCAUCUAAAGCUAAAUAUUGGCGAGAGACCGAUAGCGAACAAGUACCGUGAGGGAAAGAUGAAAAGAACUUUGAAAAGAGAGUUAAACAGUACGUGAAAUUGUCAAAAGGGAAGCGUUUGACACCAGUGUUGUUUUCUCGAAAAUCAAUUAAAAAUGGUGGGAUUUUGUGUUGUAUUGACCUUUAAUCAAGCUUUCUGCACUUUUUUCUUGUCUUUUUUAAUGCACUUUUCGUUUAACAAGUCAACAUCAAUUUCUUUUGCUGUAAAAGGGUCAUUGGAAGGUGGCUUUCUUUUCGGAGAAAGUGUUUAUAGCCUUUGACUUCUGCAGUCGGAGAGAUUGAGGUCUGCAGCGUAGAUCCUUCGGGGUUAGAUACGUUUGUGCUAAGUUAUAGCUUUUCAUAGACAACUUGUUGACUAUGUUUAGUCUUGUAGCUUACUCGCUUAUGCUAUUUUACCUACGCUUAGGAUGUUGAGUAGCGACAUACGCAC
rnacentral:rRNA from 1 species